rnacentral:lncRNA from 1 species
AUAAAUAGGAGUUGGUUUAGUAUUCCACAUAUAAAUAGGAGCGUAUGGGGCAGUACCUAAGUAUGCUAUUAUUUUCUGUUUUUCAUAUUAGGGUUUGGGCAGUGAUUCAAUGAAUAUUGUUAUAAUCUUUAAUGAAUAUUGUUAUAGUCUUUUCUGAUUAGCCAAUUUUUCAGAUCUGAUUUCUAAUUGGCUGUGAUUUGUGACAAUUAAUUUAUUUCCAUUUGUAGUGACCUAAUUUAUCCUAUAAAUAAGAUUCUUUUUCUCAUAAUUUAUCCUAAAUUUUGAUUUUUUGUUUUUUGUAUUUUAUUCACAAAAAUAAUUUAAAAAAAUUAAAAUUAAAAUAUUACCUAGGAAGAGGAACUGUUAUUGAAGAGUCAAUUCCGUGAUCUGCGCCUUAAGGACAAGGCUAAUAUUGUAGGUGGGGGGUGAAGAUAGGAAUGAAUCGGACCCCACAAGUGAUGAUGGGGAUGUGUUAGUUCACAAAGAUAAUUUUAGGCCUAAACAUUGGAUGGUUUAUGUGAGAAAUAUUAAGAAAGGUACAGUUAAUUAGUAUUCUCCAAAUAAAUAGGAGUCUCAUUUAAUNGAUGUUGGUUUUAGAUUCCACAAUAAAUAGGAGGUUGGGGCAGUACUAAGUAUGCUAUUAUUUUCUGUUUUUCUAUUGGUUUGGGCAGUGAUUCAAUGUAUAUUUAUAAUCUUUAAUUGAAUAUUGUUAUAGUCUUCUGAUUAGUCAAUUUUUCAAUCUGAUUUCUAAUUGGCUGUGAUGAUUGUGACAAUUAUUAUUUCCAUUUGUAGUGACCUAAUUUAUCCUAUAAUAAGUUCUUUUUCCAUAAUUUAUCCUAACUUUGAUUUUGUUUUUGUAUUUUAUUCACAAAAAUAAUUUAAAAAAAUUAAGAUUAAAAUAUUACCUGGAAGAGGAACUGUUAUUGAGAGUCAAUUCCGUGAUCUGCGCCUUGAAGACAAGGCUAAUAUUGUAGGUGGGGGUGAGAAGGAAUGAACGGAGCCCCACAAGUGAUGAUGGGGAUGUGUUAGUUACAAAGAAAUUUUGGCCUAACAUUGGAUGGUUUUGUGAGAAAUAUAAGAAAGGUACAGUUAAUUAGUAUUCUCCAAAUAAAUAGGAGUCUCAUUUAAUUUGUUAGUAUUUCCAAAUAAAUAGGAGUCUAGUUAGUUGUUAGUUUUUAAAAAAGAGUUAGUUUGUUCCGAUAUAAAUAGGAGCGUAUGGGCAGUAGUAAGUUGCUAUUAUUUUUGUUUCAUAUUAGGGUUGGCAGUGAUUUAUUUAAUUUUAUAGUCUUCAAUGAAUUUUUAUAGUCUUUUCUGAUAGUCAAUUUUUCAGAUACUGAUUUCUAAUUGGCUGAAUAAUUUUCAUAAUGUACUUUUAUGUUUUUUGCAUUUUAUUCACAAAAAUAUUUUAAAAAAAUAAAUUAAAUAUUACAUGGGAAGAGGAACUGUUAUUGAAGAGUCAAUUCCGAUCUGCGCCUUUGAUGACAAGGUAAAUGUGUAGGGAAGGGUGUGAUAGAAUUGAAUCCGGACCCACAAUGAUGAUGGGGAUGUGUUAGUUAAAAAGAUAAAAUUUGGCUUUAAACAGUGGAGGUUAUGUGAAAAGAAUAGAAGGUCCAGUUAAUUAGUAUUCUCAAAUAAUUGGAGUCUCAUUUAAUUUGUUAGUAUUUUUCAAUAAAAGGUCUCAGUUAGUUGUAGUAUUUCCAAUAAAUAGGGUUAGUUUAUGUAUUCUCCAUAUAAUAGGCGCGGUAUGGCGGCAGUAGCCCUAUAUAUGCUAUUAUUUUAUGUAUUUCAUAUUAGGGUUUGGGCAGUGAUUCAAUGAAUAUUGUUAUAGUCUUAAAUGAAUAUUGUUAUGUUCUUUUCUGAUUCGUCAAUUUUUCAGAUCUGAUUUAUGAUUGGUUAUUAUUUGUGACAAUUAAUUAAUUUCCAUUCGUAGUGACCUAAUUUAUCCUAUAAAUAAGAUUGUUUUUCUUAUAAUUUAUCCUAAACUUUGAUUUUUUGUUUUUUGCGAUUUAUUCACAAAAAUAAUUUAAAAAAACUAAAAUUAAAAUAUUACCUUGGAAGAGGGACAUUUAUUGAAGAGUCAAUUCUGUGAUUUGCGCCUUGAGGACAAGGCUAAUAUUAUAGGUGGGGGUGAUGAUAGGAAUGAAUCUGACCCCACAAGUGAUGAUGGGGAUGUGUUAGUUCACAAAGAUAAUUUUAGGCCUAAAUAGUGGAUGGUAUAUGUGAGAAAUAUUAAGAAAUGUCCAGUUAAUUAGUAUUCUCCAAAUAAAUAGGAGUCUCAUUUAAUUUGUUAGUAUUUUCCAAAUAAAUAGGAAUCUGAGUUAGUUUGUUAGUAUUUCCAUAUAAUUAGGAGUCAGUUUAGUAUUCCACAUAUAAAUAGGAGCGUAUGGGGCAGUAGCUAACUAUGCUAUUUUUUUUCUGUUUUUCAUAUUAGGGUUUGGGCAGUGAUUUAAUGAAUAUUUUUAUAGUCUUCAAUGAAUAUUGUUGUACUCUUUUCUGAUAAGUCAAUUUUUCAGAUCUGAUUUCUAAUUGGCUGUGAUUUGUGACAAUUAAUUCAUUUCCAUUUGUAGUGACCUAAUUUAUCUUAUAAAUAAGAUUCUUUUUCUCAAAAAAUUUCCUAAACUUUGAUUCUUUGUUUUUUUCAUUUUAUUCACAAAAAUAAUUUAAAAGAAAUUAAAAUUUAAAUAUUACAUGGGAAGAGGAACUGCUAUUGAAGAUUCAAUUCCCUGAUGUGCGCCAUGAGGACAAGGCUAAUGUUGUAGGUGGGGGUGAUGAUAGGAAUGAAUCGAACCCCACAAGAAAUGACUCGGAUGUGUUAGUUAACAAAGAUAAUUUUGGGCCUAGAAAUGGAGGGUAUAUCUGAGAAAGAAUAAGAAAGGUCCAGUUAAAUGGUAUUCUCCAAAUAAAUAGGAGUCUCAUUUAAUUUGUUAGUAUUUUCCAAAUAAAUAGGAGUCUCAAUUAGUUUGUUAGUAUUUCAAAAUAAAUAGGAGUUAGGUUAGUAUUCCCAAAUAAAUAGAAGCGUAUGGGGUAGUAGCCAAGUAUGCUAUUAUUUUCUGUUUUUCAUAUUAUGGUUUGGGUAGUGAUUCAAUGAAUAUUGUUAUAGUCUUCAAUGAAUAUUGUUAUAGUCUUUUCUGAUUAGUCAAUUUUUCAGAUUUGAUUUCUAAUUGGCUUUGAUUUGUGACAAUUAAUUCAUUUCCAUUUGUAGUUACCGAAUUUAUCCUAUAAAUAACAUUCUUUUUCUCAUAAUUUAUCCUAAACUUUGAUUUUUUCUUUUUUGCAUUUAAUUCACAAAAAUAAUUUUAAAAAAAAUUAAAAUUAAAAUAUUACCUGGGAAAAGGAACUGUUAUUGAAGAGUCAAUUCCCUCAUCUACGCCUUGAGGACAAGGCUAAUGUUAUAGGUGGGGAUGUGUUAGUUAACAAAGAUAAUUUUGGGCCUAAAGAGUGAAGGGUAUAUGUGAGAAAUAAUAAGAAAGGUCCAGUUAAAUAGUAUUCUCCAAAUAAAUAGGAGUCUCAUUUAAUUUUUUAGUAUUUUCCAAAUAAAUAGGAGUCUCAGUUAGUUUGUUAAUAUUUCCAAAUAAAUAAGAGUUAGUUUAGUAUUCCCCAUAUAAAUAGGAGCGUAUGGGGCAGUAUCUAAGUAUGCUAUUAUUUUCUGUUUUUCAUAUUAGGGUUUUGGUAGUGAUUCAAUGAAUAUUGUUAUAGUCUUCAAUGAAUAUUGUUAUAGUCUUUUUUGAUUAGUCAAUUUUUCAGAUCUGAUUUCUAAAUGGCUGUAAUUAUGAAAAUUAAUUUAUUUCCAUUUGUAGUGACCUAAUUUAUCCUAUAAAUAAGAUUCUUU